rnacentral:tRNA from 1 species
GGUGGGGUUCCCGAGCGGCCAAAGGGAGCAGACUGUAAAUCUGCCGUCAUCGACUUCGAAGGUUCGAAUCCUUCCCCCACCACAA